GCAAACCUUACUCCUACAUUAGGAGGUAGAGAAACUGUUUCCAAUAGACACUCAGCUCAAAGGAAAAAAGAAGUAGCAUGGCAAACUAGUCCUGGCAAAAAAAAACUAUAGACAACAACAUCACCAUGAGCACAAAAUGCAUAUCUAAGUGUUGUUCUUAGACACCACCGGUCCAUCUGCAAUCCAGAUUGGAACUUAAAACAGAUGCACCCUUUUGGCUUAUCAAACGCAUCUGGUAAAAAAUAGCUGUGUACUUGGGAUGUGUUGGAAUAAUUACAGAAGUAUUACCAGGCAUAUGAUUUGUGAGAUACAACAGAAAUAUUACCAGGCAUAUGAUUUGCGAGAUAGUUGGUUCAUAUCAAAGUUGUCAAAGAUUUAAGAGCAAAAAGAACAAAAUGAAACUCCAAGAAUAAAAUUAGACAUCUAAUCAGAUGUUCAAACGAUGGUAUUUCAGAGUACAUGAUAAACAAAAAUACCAAAAAAUGUAACUCCACGCAGCUCAAAACAAUUUAUGUCAACUAUAUUUUAAAGAUUCAAAACCUUCACC
rnacentral:lncRNA from 1 species